rnacentral:tRNA from 1 species
AGGAAUGUAUUUAAUUAUAAUAAUUGAAUUGCAAUCAAUAGGUGUUUAUAUAAAACCAUUCUUA